CCUACGGGUGGCAGCAGUGAGGAAUAUUGGUCAAUGGGCGAGAGCCUGAACCAGCCAAGUCGCGUGAAGGAUGACGGCCCUACGGGUUGUAAACUGCUUUUGUCAGGGAGCAAAUGGGGCCACGCGUGGGCUUAGCGAGAGAACCUGAAGAAAAAGCAUCGGCUAACUCCGUGCCAGCAGCCGGGGUAAGACGGAGGAUGCGAGCGUUAUCCGGAUUUAUUGGGUUAAAGGGGUGCGUAGGCGGAAUAUCAAGUCAGCGGUAAAAAUUCGGGGCUCAACCCCGUCGUGCCGUUGAAACUGAUGGUCUUGAGUGGGCGAGAGGUAUGCGGAAUGCGUGGUGUAGCGGUGAAAUGCAUAGAUAUCACGCAGAACUCCGAUUGCGAAGGCAGCAUACCGGCGCCCAACUGACGCUGAGGCACGAAAGCGUGGGUAUCGAACAGGAUUAGAUACCCGAGUAGUC
rnacentral:rRNA from 1 species